CACAAGCCGUGGAAGGGAGUGGACGGUUCGAGCGGCGCACAGACGACUGUCUCUCCCCGAUCCCUUUCUCUCCUUCAUCUCUCCUGUUCGUUGUCAAAACAGAAAUCCCCCACAUCCCAUCGAUCAGCGGCAAAGAAGGAAGGGCACGGCUGGCGGGGAAUCGCCGCCAUGACUGCGUGCAAAGGGGAGAUUGGUGCAGUAGCGGCCAGGCGAAGAGAUCUCUUUGUGGAUCCGGCAACUGUGCGGGCAGUGACAAAAAAGACUAGAUCGGCAAGGCGGGAUGGACACGGUGAGGCGCCACCAUCCGGCGGUGGGCGGCGGCUGCGGGGGCCCGACGUCGUUGCGGUGCUCCAGCUCUUCGGCGCAGGAGUUCGCGGGGCUGGCGUCCGUGUUCCGGCGGCGGCUGGUGGUGGGGACGACUAUGGUGGCGGCCGACUUUGGGGCGUCAUCAGGCUGUCCCCAGAGCUCGGGCGCUCGCUGAGGCUCGACGUGCCUGGACUCCUCCAUCUGCGGCUUCACACGAUGCCUGGACUCCUUCAUUGAUUCGGUAAUUUGAUGCCUGGACUCCUUUGGUAGCUUAGCUUCCUUCUCCUACUUUUUUUUAUCAACUCUUGGUUGAACAAACAGACUACUACUGCUCAACGUUUACGCAUUAACAGCUGAUUUCUGUCAUUCCAUUCUCCUCAAGGGAUUGAGUUGCUCUUUCAGAUCCGUCACGCCAUUUUGCUAAAUUUUUCAGAGUUCAAAGCUUUUGGAUUCUAGCCAAACACUAUACUACUGAGGUAAUAUCAUGCAAAAAAGAAGCACUUCAGCCACAACUCAUUUAGGGACCAGCCGAAAAUGUUGCACACACACAUAUUCGCGCGUGGCCGCAGAGUUGCACGCUCUAGUUGGUAUAGUCGCACACGCUUGGUCGCAUAGUUGCACACUCUUUGGCACAUGCCCGGCCGUGUAGUCGCACAUGCACGCCCGCGGAGUUGCACACCCUCGUCCGCGUGGUCGCACAUGCACGCCCGCGGAGUUGCACACUCUUGCCGGUAUAGAAGCACAUGCCCAGCCGUGGAGUUGCACGCUCUUGUUCGAGUAGUCACGCAUGCACUCCUGCGGAGUUGCACACUCUUGUCGACUCUUGUCGGCAUAGGAGCACACGCCUGGCCGCAGAGUUGCACACCCUCGUCCGCGUGGUCGCACAUGCACGCCCGCGGAGUUGCACACUCUUGCCGGUAUAGAAGCACAUGCCCAGCCGUGGAGUUGCACGCUCUUGUUCGAGUAGUCACGCAUGCACUCCUGCGGAGUUGCACACUCUUGUCGACUCUUGUCGGCAUAGGAGCACACGCCUGGCCGCAGAGUUGCACACCCUCGUCCGCGUGGUCGCACAUGCACGCCCGCGGAGUUGCACACUCUUGCCGGUAUAGAAGCACAUGCCCAGCCGUGGAGUUGCACGCUCUUGUUCGAGUAGUCACGCAUGCACUCCUGCGGAGUUGCACACUCUUGUCGACUCUUGUCGGCAUAGGAGCACACGCCUGGCCGCAGAGUUGCACACUCUCGUCCGCGUACGUAGUCGCACACGCACGAUCACGGAGGUGCACACUCACUUCCAAGCAGUCGCACACGCACGGCCACAGAGGUGCACACGUGUGUCGGCACAGUCAUGUGUGCGUGUGGUUCUUUGGUUGCACACUCAAGUGUGCCCUGUUUUCAAGUGUAUACGUGAGGAGUUUGUAGAUCUAAGCAGUUCAUAUCCUAGUUGGCUUUGCCACAGUUAUGCAGUUUCACAGGGAAUGGCUAUCGGCUAGUUUAGUUUUGGCUCCAGUGCCUACAUCAUCUUCAGGCAGUGUGUAUGCUGAUUUUUUUUUGGUUGCACACUAAUGUCUGCCCAGUUGGCCAUACAGUGCAUCAAGUUGCACACAAUUUUGUUUUGUUUGGUAGGUGUGCUUUGAAAAAUCAGCAUGAGUUGCUUACCUCAUGGCACUUUUUUGAUAUCAAUUGUUCUUGCUCAUUUUUUCUUUAUACAUUUGGUUGCUGCGACUAAUUUGUUUGUUCGCUUUUUUUAGCAGACUAAAAAUGGUUGUAGAAGGAGAUGUGGCUCCUAGUGAAGGAUAGGCAUGCUCGCUUUUUCAUCGUUUUUCAUUUAUCCUUGUAGCAGUUUUGUUUUCAAUUAUAAUAACUAUUAUUUUGGGGUUUUCCUACCAUGUUCUAUGUUUUGUUUGUUUUAUGCAGGGGUCUGCAAACUGUUCUUCUCGGCAGAAUUCGAAACGGCAUGCCGAUCGGCAGUCUCGUCGUGUUGAUAUCGAUAGGGAGGUAGAGGAUGAUGAGGUUGGUGACCAAUUCUGCAUUGUGAAACGAUGGAAAUGGAAGGCGGCCGCGCUGGUGGGAGUUGUGUAUGGAGAUGGCACAUCGUUUGCAACAGUUGUUGAGGUUUUACAGGUUAUGGGGGUAGAAGAGCUGCUAUAGAUUUGUGCACACAAUUCUCAGCUACAAAGUCACAUAUACUACUGUGUGGAAAGAUCAAAGGAAAAAAACACUUCCAAACCAGAUUCUUGUCUAGUAGUUGCACGAAAAUCAGUUAAAAGAGCACAAGUACCAGAUCUCCCCGUUUUAAUCUCUGUUUAUGCUAUCUUCAACAACUAUGGAGAAGCUACUUUUGCAAAGAGAAAUUUGGUGAGGGAGAAAGGGAAAGGCAAGGAGGAAGGACCUGAACAGGAGGAGAAAGGAUCACCUCUUUUUCCACCCUUGCUGGUGCCUACUGCCUGCUCUAGCAAUGGAGAUCCAGACAUGAAAACCCCUUUGUUUCAUGGGUAAGAAGGUGGGGCAGGCAGAGGCGUGGGGAAAAAGAAGUUGGUGGUCAGAGGGGCGUGAGAGCUUCAGGAGGGGAGGGAAGGGCAUGUGAUGGCCUGGGGACCACGUCCAAUGUGUGGUUUGUUGGGUUGACGCGCCUGUUGCUACCGGGGAAGGGCUUUCCUUUUCUGAGAUGGGGGGGGACAGGAUCUUUCCUUUCCUAGCGGCCGCCGGGGAACGCUAGGGAGCAGCCGGCCGCUCCUAGACGCUCCCUUUUACUAGAUCUGGAGAUUUUCUGCAGCUAAAAAAGUCAUCAAGGAAGCAAAAAAAAGAUUUUUGAGAAAAAAAACUUUGUGUGUGUGUGCGUUUUUUUUUUUGAGAAACUAAAAAAAUAUUGUGUAGUACGUCAGACAACCUCUAGGCUACCUUGCACAGGCAGAACGAUCCUCUACAGCCAUCGGACUGCAGGGAGGAGUGGGGAAUGACCCUUUGAACCGAACGCAUCACGCUAAUUUUUUUAAAUAAUACAUUUUUUUUAUUAAUUUGCAAAAAUAUUACGCUGAAAAAAUAAUU